AGAGUUUGAUCCUGGCUCAGGAUGAACGCUGGCGGCGUGCCUAAUACAUGCAAGUCGUACGAACAGCGAAAAGUGCUUGCACUUUUCAAGUAAGUGGCGAACGGGUGAGUAACACGUGAAUAACCUACCUUUAAGUCUGGGAUAACUCUUGGAAACAGGGACUAAUACCGGAUAAAACACAAGUUCACAUGAACUAAUGUUGAAAGCUGCGUUUGCAGCGCUUUUAGAUGGAUUCGCGGUGCAUUAGUUAGUUGGUGAGGUAAAGGCUCACCAAGACGAUGAUGCAUAGCCGAGUUGAGAGACUGACCGGCCACAUUGGGACUGAGACACGGCCCAAACUCCUACGGGAGGCUGCAGUAGGGAAUCUUCCACAAUGGGCGAAAGCCUGAUGGAGCAACGCCGCGUGUGUGAUGAAGGCUUUCGGGUCGUAAAGCACUGUUGUAUGGGAAGAACGGGCGGGUUAGGAAAUGAACCUGCAUUGACGGUACCAUACCAGAAAGGACGGCUAACUACGUGCCAGCAGCCGCGGUA
rnacentral:rRNA from 1 species